CAGCAGCCGCGGUAAUACGUAGGGUGCAAGCGUUAAUCGGAAUUACUGGGCGUAAAGCGUGUGCAGGCGGUUUGUUAAGACAGAUGUGAAAUCCCCGGGCUCAACCUGGGAACUGCAUUUGUGACUGGCAAGCUAGAGUGUGGCAGAGGGGGGUGGAAUUCCGCGUGUAGCAGUGAAAUGCGUAGAUAUGCGGAGGAACACCGAUGGCGAAGGCAGCCCCCUGGGCCAACGCUGACGCUCAUGCACGAAAGCGUGGGGAGCAAACAGGAUUAGAUACCCCUGUAGUCCCUGUCUCUUAUAC
rnacentral:rRNA from 1 species